UACUGAAGCAGCAUUUGAAGCUGCAGUCUUGAAACACAUGCAGGCUGGAAAAGUCGCUAAAGAAUUACUUAUUUGAGAUGGCACAUGUUUCUGCAGAAACUCAAGAUGUUUCUCCUAAAGAUGAAUCAACUGGUUCAAAAGCCUCCUCUGGGUCUCCAUUGUGUGAACACAUAAUCCCUGGGGAUUCAGACUUAAGGUCAAUGACUGAAUCAAUGAUUUUCAGGUUUUGCCACAAGGAUCCUUGAUAAAAAGGCCACAUUAUACUUUAUGUCUCUGAGCCAGAUAAAGAUAAUGAUUUUCCUUCUCUGACCUUUCCCAGUAAACUUUGGAAAAUAGCUGAAAGUGACCAAUUCAAGUCUAAUUCAUAGGAUAAGAAUGAAACUUGCAUAGUGACUAAUGAAGAACUCUUCAAGAAAGAAAAUUUGGAAAUAAAGGCUCCUUACAGAAUAUUUCAAACUGACAGUAUGAAAAUCUUAAUUUGACAGCUCAACCUUUAUGGAUUUAGUAAAAUUCAACAGAAUUUUCACAGAUCUGCUUUUCUAGCCAACUUUCUGGCAGAAGAAAAAGAAAUUUCUGUUUUAAGCAAGUUAAAGUUGUAUUAUCAUCCGAAUUUCAAACGUGGCUGUCCCCAACUUUUAAUAAGAACGAAAAGAAGAAUUAAGAUUAAAAACACUUCUCUUGUAUCUACUUCACUGAAUAUUUCAAGAAACACUUUAGAGCAGGGGCUAACACAGAUAAACAUAAUUCUGUCUUAGCUGCUGAAACUAGUGAAGAAAGUUCAUUUUCAACAUCUACAAAUUUAAAUAUGACUCUAACAAGGAAAUCUUCUGUCAGCCAGGGCAUUGCUGGUUCACCUGACCCAAUUAGAAGUGGUUUCCCUCCUCUUCCAUUUCAACCUCAGUUGGACAAUCAGAACAAAUUACAACAAAUCAACAUGCUAUUUUAAAUCAAUUGACAAAUAUUCAUAUGCACUCUCAUAGCACCGACAUGUAAGCAAAUGGCCACGUUGUGAAUUUUGUUACAACCACAGCUUCUCAAUACUACAUCAUAUCUCCCUCCUUUGGGGCUGAUAGUGAAACCACCUACUUUUUCCCACCAGAUAUCCUGAGGUAUUAGCCAAUGAGGCUCCUCAUUCUAACCUGCUACCAGCAGGCAACCUGUGGUUGUAAAUGACUGCGACAGCUGAUACAUCAGUUGCCUUUCGUUACAGGCCAGCUCUUCAACCAUCUUUACUGGAAAAAUAUCACCCUAGUUACAACUGAUCUUCCACCAAAAGAGUACCAGAUUAUGCAUGACAACAGAGACUGAAAUUUAUGUUGACAAGAACAUUAAAAAUUCCUGCAAUAAUCUUACUGAACAAUAAAAUUACAUGUUGACCUUU
ensembl:lncRNA HSFY1P1 HSFY1 pseudogene 1